GGUGGAAAGCUCCAAAGGGAUCGCAUUGAUCUAAUGUUGAUGGAUUAAUUCCUCAAGGAAUUUAUGGGGUUAGAUUACAGCACAGAGAUUUCUGUAUUCAGUUCACUCUCAUUGGAUCAUGCGAUCCCUUCGGAAUUUUCCAU
rfam:Corchorus capsularis cultivar CVL-1 contig07571, whole genome shotgun sequence.